UUCCACUUUCACUGCAUCGGUAGGUGGCUCAAGACCAGGCAAGUGUGCCCUUUAGACAACAGCGAGUGGGAGUUCCAGAAAUAUGGCCACUAGAUUUUGGAGGUCAAAGCGUUUACAAUUUCAUGCAUCUUUCUAAAACUGCAUUUAGCCUAAUGAGGACUGGAAGUUGUAAUGAAACACGAAUAUUGGAAUUUCUGAGAAUGAAGGAUAUCAUUAUAAUUUUCCGUUGCUUUGA